rnacentral:rRNA from 1 species
AUGGCCACCACCGUCACGCUGCUGCUCGGGGCAGCCUCGUCCCCCGGCCCCGCCGCCGGUGAUGGCGCCGCGCGGGACGGCUUCCAGUGCUCCCGCCUGCUACCCAAGAAGAAACAGCAGAGGCCGCGCUGGGUGCUCUGCUCGCUCAAGUACGGCUGCCUCGGCGUCGGCGAGCCGGGGGAGGCGGGCGGCCGGAGCGCGGCGUCGCCGGUGUACUCCAGCCUCACCGUCAGCCCCGGAGGCGACGCCGCCGUCGCCGUCGUCUCGUCGGAGCAGAAGGUGUACGACGUGGUGGUGAAGCAGGCGGCAUUGCUCAAGCGCCAGCUGCGCCCCUCGCAGCAACAGCAGCAGGCGCCGCCAGCCGUCGCCAGGGAGCUGGACGCGCCGCGCGGCGGGCUCGGGGAGGCCUACGCCCGCUGCGGCGAGAUCUGCGAGGAGUACGCCAAGACCUUCUACCUCGGGACCUUGCUGAUGACCGAGGAGCGGCGGCGCGCCAUAUGGGCCAUCUACGUAUGGUGCAGGAGGACAGACGAGCUGGUGGACGGUCCCAACGCGUCGCACAUCACGCCGCAGGCGCUGGACCGGUGGGAGAGGAGGCUGGAGGACCUCUUCGCCGGGCGCCCCUACGACAUGCUCGACGCCGCGCUCUCUGACACCAUCACCAAGUUCCCCAUAGAUAUUCAGCCCUUCAAGGACAUGAUCGACGGGAUGCGGACGGACCUCAAGAAGGCGAGGUACAAGAACUUUGACGAGCUCUACAUGUACUGCUACUAUGUUGCCGGCACCGUGGGGUUGAUGAGCGUCCCGGUGAUGGGCAUUGCGCCCGACUCCAAGGCGACAGCUGAGAGCGUCUAUGGCGCCGCUCUGGCUCUCGGGCUCGCGAACCAGCUCACCAACAUACUCAGGGAUGUCGGAGAAGAUGCAAGAAGAGGAAGGAUAUAUUUGCCGCAAGACGAGCUUGCGGAGGCAGGGCUCUCCGAUGAAGACAUCUUCAAAGGAGUCGUCACCGACAAGUGGAGAAAAUUCAUGAAGAGGCAGAUCAAGAGGGCGAGGAUGUUCUUCGAGGAGGCGGAGCGAGGGGUGACUGAGCUUAGGAAGGAGAGCCGGUGGCCGGUUUGGGCCUCUCUGUUGUUGUACCGGCAGAUCCUUGACGAGAUCGAAGCGAAUGACUACAACAACUUCACCAAGAGGGCCUAUGUUGGGAAGGCGAAAAAGGUGCUUGCGCUCCCUGUCGCGUACGGGAGAUCGCUGCUCUUACCGUAUUCACUGAGAAAUAACCAGACCUAG